UCCUGCUUCAAUCUCUAGAAACUCCCCUGAAUUAACAGGGAACAUACCAAUGCUGCUAAGUUUGUAUUUAAGGUUACCCUAAUUGUCUGAUGCUAGAAUAGAUGGCUAUGUUAGUGGCUUUCUUUGUUUUGUUGUUUCUGCUGCAAGGAGCAGCUUUAUAUUCUCAAUCACCCUCCUUUGAUUUUCUCCCAGGACUGCAAGUGGACUCCACUGGGAAAACAUUCCUAAUUGAUGCAGACAACUACCUGUAUAGACUGAAUGCUCAGCUAAUACAAGAGGAGAGAGUUGAUCUAGGAGCUACCUAUGUCAUUGAACAAGGACUGGCCCUGAGCUCCACUGGGAUGUUGGUGGUGUGUUUAGAGGAUCUCUCUUGCUCCGUCUACAAUGCAAGCACCAUCAGUGCUGGUCCUAUCUGGAGUGUCAGUAAUGCUAUAGUAGGAUAUUUUAACUCUGGAGCAGCUAUGUUUAUGUCAGGAGACAGUUUCUACACUGGAGCAAUGACUGAUAUAGAUCUAGGUCAGAGAAUGGUACUGCAACAAUUCGGACAGGAGUUCAGUAGAUCUUCUGUAAACAAUCAAUCAGAUAUGCGUAAUGAACUGGUAUUUGAGAUUAGUACCUUUGGACGAAACUUUUAUGCAUUUGGUGGUUUUGUGAGUAGUGGAUUUGCCUAUUAUGUUGUUGUCGAUUAUCAACCUGCUGAUGCACGAGCUAUCAGACUAUUACGUGUUUGCAACAUGCCUGAUUGUGGAGGCCCAAGUACCUGUGGAGUGACUGGUUUGUAUGAACUGGGAAUCAAUUGCGGUCUUCAGGGGAUCACUGAAGAUACUUGUUUGUGUGCAGUGUCAUUAGUGGAGGACUUCAGUGGGAUAUCUGGACCCACUGCUGUGGUAACUAUUUGCUUUGGCGGUACUAAUUCUAUUUGUCUGGUCAAUAUCACUGCUGUCAAUGAAGCUAUGGACGCUAAAUAUGACUCGUGUAUUGUGUCACGCACUGUUGAAGAAGAAAUUGGUUUAGCAUGGAGAACAGGCUCUUCAGAAAACUGCGAUACCCUGCCUCAGUCUCAGGAAACAGUGGACAUAUGUGACACACCCAGUCCAGUCGGCCUUCUCAUUCCAAAUGGUGGUAUUGACAUAAUAGCACCAGUUCGUAUCAACUUUGGAAUUGACCUUGUCCCCUUUGCUUCAGUAGCUGUGAAGGUGGAGCAGUUUUCCUUUGUGUUUGUGGCAACUAAUGAUUCUAGAAUAAGAGGAUACGAUGUCAGUGGUACCUCGACUCUGGACACUGAUAGCUAUUUCUACAGUCAGCGAGUGAGAUAUGAUGUAUAUCUUUUGUCAUGGCAUGAGGGACUGAACUACAUCACAGCAGCCACUGCAAACUCUGUAUUCCAAGUACCCAUAGAGGAGUGUUCCCAGCGUAUAGACUGUACUAGUUGUACCAAUGACCUCAACCCGCUGUGUGGGUGGUGUGUGGUGGAGAACAAGUGCUCCCGUCAGACGCAGUGUCAGAACUCCAGUCUCUCUAGUAGAUGGGUACAGGACAAUGCCAACUGUUUUACUACCACUGUGGAUCCUAUGCAGCUUGUCCUCGACCCUGCAAUUCUUGCUAAUGUGGUCACGGUGACCCUGCCUAACCCCCUGCCUGGAGAGAAUAUCUCCUGUCAUUUGGCGGACAGUGAAGAACGUUUCCCACCCAUCAUAGUACCAGCUGUUGAGGUCACUCCAGGAAUAGUGUUCAGUUGUGAUAUUGAAGGACUGGUACCUGACUACCCUGGAGUGACUGCAAUCAUCAACCUGGGAUUUCAGAGCUCUCUGUUCAAUGAGCCAUUUAACGUUACCAACCAAGCACUCACAAUCUACAAUUGCUCAGCAGGGAAAAGCUGUAAGGAUUGCCUGGAGUCCAACAGUCCGUGUGGAUGGUGUAACCUCAACAAGCAGUGUAGUGGGACAGCAACUCUGUGCAAGAAUACGUCUCACUUCCUACAGGUGUCUAUAUCUACAGACUUCAGAGCCCUAUGCCCCCUGCUAGAUACGACCCCCUUUGGGGGGCACACUCUACCAGUGAGGGUAGUCCAGGACCUUCGACUGACCACUAGGAACCUGAUACCACCAACGGAUGGCUUCGAGUAUUUGUGUAUUGUGAAUGGAGUUAGCCUGGCAGCUCAGUAUGAGAAUGAGACCUCUAUCCUGUGCAAUGUGGGCAGUGGAGACCUCAACCUGCCUACUGGUAGUGGUAGCUCUUCUGUGGUUGCUACGGUGAUAUGGUUCGGGAAUGGCAUCAUCCACCCACUCAGCAGUGUCACACAACAGACUGACAUUACGUUGUUUGAUUGUCGUAACUUGGGCAGUGGAUGUUCAGAGUGCUUAGCAUCCAGACUGGGGUCAAAGUUCACGUGUGGGUGGUGUAGCCUUAGCGACAGCUGUGAGGUGUUGCAAGAAUGCACCAAUGAUGUUUUUGUUACUGAGGGGAGAAAUUGUCCUUCCCCUUUCAUCAAAUCAAUCUCUCCAGAAUCUGGACCAGUUGAUGGUGGUACAGCAAUCACUGUGAUGGGCACUGACCUCGGAGUGACCUUUGCUGACAUUCUGAACGCCACCCUUACAUUAGGAGGUGUGGCCUGUACUAUCAUCAACACUGACUAUAUACCAGGGAGGCAGUUUGUGUGUGUGACCAACAACUUUGGAAGUACAGGCAGCAAUGUCUUCACUAUGGUCCUGUAUGGCAAUAUAGACGUCAAUGUAAACGCUGAUCCUUUCAUUGCGUUGAAUCCCUUUGUUAGUAGCGUCAAACCGACCUUUGGACCCAUGGCAGGGGGUACCAAACUGACUGUGAGGGGUACUGCACUAAGAGUGGGUAACCAUGAGAACACUAGAGUCACUCUGGUCAGUGGAGGGUUAAUCUACACCUGCAACGUAUUAUCAAUCUUUUCUCAAGAGAUUGAAUGCACCACUACAGCAGCAAACCUCACCUCCGCUGCAGAGGUGGUAGUUACUAUUGAUGCUGCUAGACUGGACUUUGGAGUGUUCUUCACUUACAGUAACAACCCCAAUGUAACUGCUGUGCGUCCUAGCAACACCAUUCCCAGUGGAGGCAUCACACUGACCUUUACUGGAGUGUACUUGGACGUGGUACAACAGCCUGUGUUGGAGAUCUACCAGCCCAUGGAGGAGGAUCCUCUGAGAAGCAACUGCAGUGUUGUGGACAAUACAACCAUCACAUGCUUGACUCCUAGUCUGCUAAUAACCUCACUGACCCCAUUGGACUAUGCCCUACUGUUUGAUGAUGUCCCACCUAUCACACAAGCACGUUUUCCCAUCAGCGUCCAAUUAGAUCCCUCCAAUUUCCGGCUGGAGGGUUCUCAAAAGGUCCCUAAUGGCACAGAGACGCUCAUACGCAUUGUGGGUGAUAAUCUCGACUCAGUGGAGACCAGUGAGAUACGAGUGACAGUGGGAGGGGAGGAGUGUGUCAAGACACCCAGUAGCGUAAGAGGGAGUGAAUUCAUCUGUACUGCCCCCUUGGAGCCGCCAGGAGGGGAAAACCCAGCCAACAUAAAUGUAACCGUUGGAAGCAACAUCGCUCAAAAAUUGGACCGGCAACUGACUUAUACAUUUCCUGAGGCAACGGUUUUUGGGCCAACAGUUCCUCUGCAGAUCAUCAUUCCAGUUAUUGUCAUCAUCUUUAUAAUUGUCGUGUGUGUACUGACGAUUGCUAUUGUCUGCUUGUAUCUGAACUCAAGGAGAAAGUCAGUACCAAUUUAUAUGCAUCAGCAUGAGCAAAGGAUAGAGCUCACGGCUACUGGGAAAACUCAUGAGGUAGUCGAUGGUAAUACUGCACUCGUUAAAUCAGAACUUGUUGAGAUUGCUGAGUCCAUCCCAGACUCAUUCAAAAUAGCUGCCUCAAAAUUGAAGCUCUCCAGUACUGCAAUAGGACAAGGUGAAUUUGGCGUUGUGUACAAGGGUGUUCUGACAGACUGGAACAAAGUACCUAUGCAGGGGGUGGCCGUGAAGACAUUAAAAGGUCUGUUCUCAUUGUCGGAUGUUCAGAGCAUGGUGUGUGAGGUGAACAAGAUGCAGGACUUUGACCAUCCUCACGUCAUGUCCCUAAUUGGAGUGUGUCUCGAUGCUGGCCCCGGUGUUGCCAUAGUGAUGCCAUAUAUGGCCAAUGGCAGCCUUAUUAGCUACCUCAAAAAAGAAAGGAGCAGCCUUGAGUUGGACGAUGACUGUGACAUAGAUCAGAUUCUGGAAGUGAGGAAACUGCUACUAAAGAUGUGUCGUCAGAUAGCACUGGGAAUGGCCUACUUGGCUGAACAGAAGUUUGUCCAUCGCGACCUUGCAGCCAGAAACUGCAUGCUGGACUCGGGAGGGGGUAUCAGGGUGGGGGACUUUGGUUUGGCUGAAGACGUCUAUGCUAGCGGCUACUUCAGACAGAACGACAGAGCCAAUGUGAAGCUGCCCUACAAAUGGAUGGCCAUGGAGAGUCUCAACGAUGCCAUAUUCACAGAAAAAACUGAUGUGUGGUCGUAUGGUGUGACUGUGUGGGAAGUCUUCAAUGGAGGACGGACCCCCUACCCUGCUGUGGACCCACACUCCCUCAUCCAGCUGCUGGGAGAGGGGCGGAGACUAGAGAAACCUCUCAACGCAGCCUGUUCCGCCGAAAUUUCUGAAGUGAUGCGUCAGUGUUGGAGGGAGGACCCAGAGGAGAGACCAACCUUCUCACAACUGUCCUCCACUGUGGACAAGUUACUGACAUCUAUUGCUGGCUACACUGAGCUCGGUAUGGUGCUACUGAACACAGUUCAAGAGGUGGAGCAGCUCAAAUGUGACAAUGUACCUUCACCUACUGAAGACGCUAAUCGUUAUGUCGAUGGUCCACCAGGUCACCCUCUAGCAUUCAAAAACAGAAUGUACGAAGAAGAAUUUACUGCAACAGACGAUUAACUAAUUAUAGCCUUUAGCUAGGUCGGCUGCUCUGGUUGUCAUGGUAACCUGGACGCAUCAACCACCCACUGAGCAACAUAUUGAAACAAAUUUCAAGUAUCAUUUCUUUCUGUCAACAAUCAUUGUUAUACUCUAUAUGCAUGCAGGUCUGUUCUCUUUGUCAGAUGUUCAGAGCAUGGUGUGUGAGGUGAACAAGAUGCAGAACUUUGACCAUCCUCGCGUCAUGUCUCUAAUUGGGGUGUGUCUCGAUGCUGGCCACGGGAUUGCCAUAGUGAUGCCAUAUAUGGCCAACGGGAGCCUUUUUGACUACCUCAAGAAAGAGAGGGAUAAUCUGGAGCUGGACGAUGACUGUGAGAUUGAUCAGAAUAUGACUAUGUCCCCACGCCCACGGAAGCCUCUCAUCACUAUGGCAACUUUCCAUUAAGUGACCCUCUAACAACUGACAACAGUGCGUAUGGCCUCAGGGAAGAGAUAACUACAUGACUUG